AGGCUCCCUGCAGAGAAACAGAAAGCGCUGUCGCUGUGAAAGCUGCUUGUCAAGAUAAUAACAAUGAACACUAAGUAUCCCAGAUCCGAAGAGAGGCCACAGGAACUGAAGCAUUUCCUUUUACUUUAUGCCAGGUGUAGUGUAGUUGGUACUGUUUAAAAAUCAUUCCUUGGUCAAGCAACGAUCAUGAGGCCUUGUGGGUAACCAACAAGCCACAAGGACCAUGGGAAAUAAGUUCUGUCCCUUUAACCUCAGACUAGCUGGCUCCGUGGCGUGAAAGGUUUAUUGGGAUCAAGGAAGCCCUAAUUUCAUGAAAUGCUUGACACCUGGGUCUCUGGGUGUGAACAUCCCCCUUCAAUGAUGUUAUCUGUCCUUGAAGUGUCUGGGAAGAGGGAUCUGGAUUGUUUCCACGGAAGGGAGUAAACUCUUUGAUUUGGGUUUUGCAUUCUAAAUUGACCCAGCUGUCAAGGAGCAGAUUGAUUGACCAGCAAGCCUGUCAUUGGUGAGUUUAAAUCUUAAUUAAGACUUAUGAUUGGCUUGAGAGUUACGACGCCAAGUGCGAAUUGUGAAUAUAAGAUCAGGGAAUUGUUUGUGAAGUUGCUCUCUGCCUUUGCUCACUGCAAAUCCGCAAAGAUGCACGGCUACAUUGUUCCAGCUAAUAGCCGUCGUUUCGUCUUUUGAAAUGGAGAUCUACCAACACCUCCAAUUGCGGACUCCGGAAAAGAACUCUGACUAUCCUAUUUGUAAUUGCCAAGUAAACGAUUGGUUGUACCUGCCUUGUGAGGGACUGUCACAGGACCAUCUGCUCUGGGAGCAAGUGCCAGCAAGAUCUCGGCUGCUACAGGAGUGACAAUCAGCGGGCAGAUUUCGGCUAGACCCUCAGAGGCCAAGGUCCCAACCUGAAAGGUUGGUAGUGUCUGGCAUUUCCAGGAAGGCUGGGCCACCAGGAUAUUUCUCGGAGGACUGCCAAGGCCUGUAGCUAUGUGGCUCACUUCUGCCCGAGCUGAUUACAAUAACUAAACCUGGAAUGUCUUAAGAAUUUGUGCCUGAGCUCAUUUCCUUUUUCUUCUUCCCUCCCCAUCCAUUUUUUUUCUUGUGUGUCAUGCCAUUUAUCUGUUGUCACCCCGAGGGCAGGACUAUAUUCUUUUAUUGAUUUGUAAGCCACUUCACCAGAAGAGCAGGGUCUAAAUGCUUUGAAUAAAAACAAAUGUACGUACAUUGAAGGAA